UGCUGAACACACGGUGCGUGU
rnacentral:misc_RNA from 1 species